GAGAAAGAAACCUAGCUCCCAGAGCCGGUGCAGUCAGUCCCCUCGCCCCUCCCACCCCUGCGCGGGUCCCCCUCCAGCCGUCGCUACAUCCACCACCUCGGUUCCACUCAAUCGAUUUUUGCUGCAUGUCAACACUUAUUACCGUCCACCCAGGGAGUCCAGGGCCGGAGGAGCCCCCAGCCACAUCCCCUUCUCACCCUUUCUCUGGCCUCCGCGCCUUCACUCCCGGGCAGCCAUAUACCUUGAAUGGGUCAUGCCUGCCUGCCUCCUUGGAGCUGCGUCUUGAAGCCCAGGGGUUGAACAUUAACCGGCUGUGGCUAUAGACUGAGAUGGCACUCUCUGCCUCAACCUGGACCCUGACUCUGACGUGCUUAUUGAAACAGAAGUUUCGCUGAAAGCAUUCACUGAAAUCUCUGUACUUACGGGUAUGAGAAAGUGGCAGCGGUGGUGUGCGUGUCUGCUGAGAACUCUGCAUCGCUGCAUUACUCUCAAGGUCACAUCCUAGCUUCUUCAAAGUUAGAAAGGAAAAGAACACACUAUGAACACACUGCUUCUGUUUCAGUGUGUUCACAGUCUGUAUAGCGAUCCUGAGAAUUUUUGGCAGGGGAUGGAGGGUGGCAGCAAAGACAUGGAGUAAACAAGACUUUCCAGAGUGUCAGCAGGCAUCAACAAUGUGGCAAGUGCUGUGUAUGCGUAUUAAUUGAACAUCACCAAUCAGUUCAUUCUCAAAGAAAAUGGCUUUCUGUUUAAGAUGUGGUUACAGAGUGUUCAUCACUUCGUGUAGUGUCACUGCUCUGUCAGUGCACACAAUGCUCUUUGUCGUUCCUAUAGAGCGAUUCAGCUCAACUUUGUCAGCACCAAAUUUGGUGUUAUUCCACACUCCCUCCCAAAAAAUAGUAUUGACUCAAAUGUUCCACUAAAUUAGCUCUAGAGAGACAAUGAAUGCAUCGAAGCAAAUAAAUACAAAGAAGUAUGAAUCACACACUCAGUUGCUUUUCAGUGACUUACAGAAAUGUACGUGGGGAAAGGGUAUUUACUUUUAAGGGCUUGAGUAGUUGGGGAAAAGAGUAUUCUAAAGGGUAUUGCAGUGUUCACUCAAACCUUCUUCCCCACCAAAUUACCAUGUUAUCUGACACCCUCGAUCUAUUUGUGUCCUGAGUAACAGACGGUUUGACCAAGAGGUCACAGACUAGAGGGCUUGGGUGACUGGAAACAAGUUUGACAAGAAAGGAAUCUGGGUGGGGUGCCACCAUGGAGGUGGAAAGAGGAUGAGGCCACCAUGGCUGGAGCAGCCUGGCAACCCAAAAUCUGCUGGACCCUGCGUUUACACAAAAUGCCUUGUCAGGGAAUGGGAAAUUAGGAAUAGCUGUUAACACAAUUUCAUGGAUGAGAAAAAUUUAAGUUUCUCUCUCCAUUCCUUUUCUUUAUCUUCCCUUUUUCUACCUUCUUCUUGCCCUUCUUCUGCAUCAGGUGACUCUCCCCAGAAUUUUGGCUGCUCCUGAAUGAAGCCCUGCUUAUCCUCUCUUUUGAAUUAAGGCUUCAGGUGGUUUGUAGUGUUCACUUUUCCAGAUAUAAUACAUGUUUUAUUCAGUCAAGAGUCUACCUGUAAACCACGUGUACUUGUGAAUAUGGAGUGCUUCUAUGAACAGUACAAGUUUCAGGUUGAAUAAGUAAAGUGUGCAAUAUUGCAUACUUUAGCAUUUCAGAGUGCAAGAAGGACAGUGCACACUCUUUAAUAAAGCCCCACUGCAUGCCAGGGACACUGGGAGAGUGAGUGAGCAGAAUUCUUUCACCCAGGCAAUAUGACCCUUGGCAUUAUGGCCACCAAAGUGGGAAAUCUCCAUUUAGUUUGCCAUUCUCACUUUGAAAGCUCCUCCUCCCCUAAAACUACCAUCUGUGCACUUGUACACAUUGUCAAAUUUAUGUGUCCCAAGAAAACACUGAAACAGUCCUUUGAAAAGUUUAUGUGCUAAACUUUUCAUGAAAACGCAUUUUCCUUCUGCUAAAUCCUCCUUUUAUUGGCUCAGCAGAAUUUUAUUGUAUUUUUCUCUUUCUUGUACAAUUGAGAAACACCUUCAUUAUCAUCCUACAACUCGUCAGAUUAGAACUUGGUUGAAACAUCUUUUACUCCACAGAAGCGCUGCCCUAUUUCACCCUCCUUUGGCUCUUUCUUUUCCUUUCCAACUUCUUCCACUAAGUGAUUCUUCUAAGAAUCACUUAGAGGUAAUUCUAAUCUCAUGACUCUGUCCCUUUUUACUUUUUCAUUUUAUUUCUGGCCACUUAGUGUUCCCAUACUUCCUAACUAACUUUCAUCCAUAUUACUCCUUUGGCAAUUACCAUAUGGGGUGUUUCAUUAUAAGUUAAGAUUUUGUGGGUCAUUGUUUUUAGCUUCUUGUGGUGGCUUGGCACAACACCUUGUAAAGGAGUAGAUAUUCAAUAAAUGCCUAUUGAUCAAAUGUUACAAUUAAAAUCUUUGUUCACAAAAACAAAAGUUCAAAGACAAUAAAAUCUAUUGA